AACCUCUGAAGAUCUCUUUGAAAGCUGUGAAGAUUCCCUUUGCUAGUCAACUCUUCUACCAAUGAAGAAAAGGACCUUUCAAGUCUGAUCAGUUCAGCUACCUCUGUUCUGUCUGUCCUUUUUUGAGAACGUGGGUCUUCAGGUUUGUUAGCUGAAUAAGGAAAGUCUUCUCUGCAGUAGUCAAAGUACCUGAAACUCUUUCUUAGUUUUGGAUACAACCAAACUGCAUCAAGACAGGCUGCUUGAAGACAAA
rnacentral:lncRNA from 1 species